GAUGAAGAACGCAGCGAAAUGCGAUACGUAAUGUGAAUUGCAGAAUUCAGUGAAUCAUCGAAUCUUUGAACGCAUAUUGCGCUCUUUGGUAUUCCGAAGAGCAUGCUUGUUUGAGUAUCAGUAAACACCUCAACCUCUUCUUGAUUUUUCAAAAGGAGGGUGGACUUGAGCUAUCCCAACAACCUUUACCGGUCGGCGGGCGGCUUGAAAUGCAGGUGCAGCUGGACUUUUAUCUGAGCUAAAAGCAUGUCUAUUUAGUCCUCGUCAAACAGGAUUAUUACUUUUGCUGCAGCUAACAUAAAGGAUAAUUGUCCUCUUUGCUGACUGAUGCAGGAUUUUACGACACUUUAUGUGUUGUUCAACUCGAUCUCAAAUCAAGUAAGACUACCCGCUGAACUUAAGCAUAUCAAUAAGCGGAGGA
rnacentral:misc_RNA from 1 species